ensembl:lncRNA
AUAUGAAACAGCAGCAGCUGCUAAUGUGAUGUAGCAAGGGAAGGGUUCGAGUAAUUCCACGGCAACUAAACAAAAGCAAAGAUAAAGGGUGAGGAAGCAUCUCACUGUAAGCACCAGGUCCGUGGUCCCACAGGGCAGCUGCAUACCUGCAAGGUGUGCUGUGUGCGCCAACAGAAUCCUCAGUGCCAUCCCCUGGGUUACAGUGGUGCUUCCUUCCAUGACGAGCACAGCAGGAGUGGAAUGUCCUCAUCCUCUGAAUUUCUGUGGGCUCUUCAGAUACAACUUUUGCUUCUUUUGCUUUGUGGCACAGGAAUUACAAAGCCCAAACGUCCCUGUGUGGCUUCAGCAUAUGAAUUACAGCCUCUUCUGAGCUCCAGCAGCUGCCCCAGUAACCCUCUGAGGAGGUGCUGCUGCUAUUUUUAGAAGGACUCUACAAAAACAAGACCCAAAAAAGACACCAGCAAACAUAAUUAAGUUGGCAACCGGCAAUCUAUAAAAGCAGUGAGGCAAUGCUGCUACUUGGUUACACCCACAGCGGCCAUAAAUCAUCCCCCCUAUCUGACCUCUCUCUGCACACUUCUCAGGGGUUGCUGGUGAUCUUUUUUUGGGUACUUUUCCCAAAAUGCACAUGUGGUUCUUCGUUCAGAACUUCACAACGAUUCAAGUGACCACCCUGUCCUGGUAACUCGAAACACUCUUACAGCUCACACAAUGCUCCACAUACACAGGAAACAGCUGCAGAAAUGGAUGCCUGAAUGGAUUCCCAUCAAAGCCAAUGAUUCACAACAGGCAGCGCUCAGAAAGCAGUGACAGCCCUGGAUUACUGUGAGGAGAGGCAGCCCACCCUCCCCCCAGCCCCCGCCCCCGCUUCAUGCACCAUUAUCCUCCAUCACGCGCAGUUCUGGCAGAAUUGCAGGACUUUCCAGAACGCCCUUCUGCAGGUAUGUUUCAUCUCCACAUCGUGCUGCUGACUCAGUGCCUCUCAGCCGACCUGGAUAUGGAGAAAAAGCAGCAACUCUUGAGGUUCUGUUUCCAUGCUGGCUAUGAAAGGAGUUGCCCACAAGCUGUCCAUGGUUGUAGUUGUGCUGAGAGCAAGCUGCUUCCACAAUCGACCUGAAGAAACCCCUUAAAAGUGCACGCCUGCCCCAUCUUGUGACCGAUAUGCUUCAUUAUCUCCUUUUGUACUUUGCCCAGAGGUUGCUUCCAUCAUUACAGACCUUUCACAUGUGCUGCUGGCCUCAGAUCGCAGGUGGUUUCUUUGCAUGCACUGUAAUCGACGCUCUUGUUGGUGAGCUCCUUGGAAGGCUCAGCAGCAGCACGCAGCUUAUCAAACCCUGUAGGGAUGCAGCCAGCAAGAAAUGGAAAGUGAAAUGUCCCAAGUCUGCUGCAUGCAGCUGUGCCUUCUGCUUGGAUUCCAAACUGUCACUGCUGCCAAUCCGUAUCUUUGUCAGAACUGAAUAAAAACAAAACCAACCCUAACAAAUUAGCAUUCAGUAGUGUGCAAACAGGAAACUUGAAACACGUCGAAUGUUUGGAAAUAACAGGUUCCUCUAAAGGAACCAGUUGAUGUAAGUUUAUGGGAUUGAGGAACCAGCAACAACAGGUUUUACAGGCUAAAAUGGAUCUGCGUCAUCAUUCAAGUUCCUGACAUUCAGAAAUUAAUGGAUUCUGGGGAGAUACUGAAAUCUACACAGCUUCCAAAGCAGCUGACAGUGCUUGACACCCUGUUCAAAGCACAAGUGCAGCACGGGAGGAAAGAGGUGUCUCCACACUGUGACCUGGCACUGCUCUCCAGUGACACAAAAGGUGACAGCUCACCUGAGGCUGUGCUGCAGCUUGGAGUGAAUGCUCAGACCUGAGUCGGUGCCAUUUCCUCAUGCCAUCGAACAGGCAUCAUGCCCAGAACACCUCCUGUAUCAACACAUCCAUUCAGUUCUGAAUUCUGUUGAGUGCAUGGCAGAGAACACAGAGUAGACAUUUAAUCAACAUGUCUGUUUGUUCACAAUCCCUUCUAUUUCACAAGCUGACCAAAUGCUGCACAGAUGAACAGCUUUUGUUGCUCAGCAUUUGCCCUGAUUGAAAGCUGCCCUGCACAUAGAUCAGGGCUGAAUUUCAACCUGUCCCUUACUGUGGCCUGUAGUGCAAGGAGCAAAGCACGUGGUGUGACAAGGCAAUGGCACAAAGCCUGCCAGGUACACAGAGGGCAGUACAGUGAGGACCUUCAGUAUGAAGGCAAAGAACAAAGGCAAUGCAUGCAACACAACCCAUGGCUUACAAAGUCUGAUAACGGCAUCAUUUUCCCAGCACGAUGCGCACCCACCACAGCAUGCAUUGCUCACUCCAUUGCAGCACAUUGCUCACCCCACACUCCACUCUGCCCAAGAACCUCUUCUGUCUCUGGACAAAAGCUCUGGAGCUCACACCAGGGGCUUUCUGGAGAAAUAAAGUAAAAUUUCAUGGAGAAAUUAAGUUUAAAAGUGUCUGCAGUACAUAUUAUAUGUUAGUACUGCCUGAAAUCAGAUCUUUUUAAAAAGUUCUUAGUAUUUUCCUAACUUUUCCACAUGAGGCACACUGUGAAGGACUUGUCUAAGUUAGCGUAAAGCAAAUCACAACCAGCUGGUAUGCUCUGUAUUACAAGUUAACUUCUAAUCACACAUGCUUGCUUUUGCCAGCGAAGCACUGGUGGAAUUGGACUGGGUUUAGCUGCAUGGCUACAGUGAGAUCCAGCCACAAGUUACAGAAAUAAGUGUUACUUCUGUAGGCUCCCCAGCCAUCAUUCCUUGGCUUACUGGGAAGCAGCACAGCCACAUCCUGGCACUGACCUUAACUCAGCAGCAAUUCAAGGUUCCAGAUGGAAAACUGCAGCUUUGGAAGAUUUGUGGCUCGCUCCUGUCAGAAGAUAGGAGGUGUCUCUUGAGAUAGAGAGGAGCAAAAACACCCUGCUGGAUCUGGCCACACUUGCUUGGAAGCGGUUUCUUUUCAUUAUCUGGGAACAGUUCACAGUGCAAUGCCAGAUGCCCAUAUUUUCCAUCACACAAAUUGUAUUUCCGGUGUUAAAACCUCUUCAGCAUUCAUCUUUUACAGCAUCCUUUUUAUUAUCCUAUCAGAAUUAAUUUUGUACUAUGCUUUGAGGAUGAAAAAAGCCACAUAAGUGCUAAGCAUGUUUGGUUCCAUUACUUCACACCACUACAGUUGCAUAUAGUUUACCCUUUCAUUAGGGGAAUAAACUCAAAUAACAGCAAUUAAAGACACAGCCUAACAUCAACUUUUCAUUCUGUAAAGAAGUUUUUAAACAACUGAAAAUAACGACAUGCAGCUUUUGUUUGAGACAGGACGUGUCCCUGAUUUCAUUCUCACGCUUUUUCUUUUGCAUUAAGGGUGGGCAGUGCUUUCUGCAGCACUCUGCAGGCUUUAAAGGGAACUAUAAAACACCAGGAGCCAAAACAAGAAUUUAAAGUGAAGAAUCCCUCACAACACAACCACUUCUUUAAACCAAAGACUGCCUGCAUUUCUUUCUGAUUUAUACAUUUUACUGACCUAUGGCACUGGCUCCAGCUAUUUCCAUACACUUUCAAGGCUGCAAAGACACCACAGUGAUUUUUACCUAAGUCUGCUUUCUUCCUCCACGGAACAGCUCCACGUGGCAGCCCCAGGCUGCACUCCCAGGUGUUGCUCUGAGCUCUGCUCCCAACCCUGCUGCACACCCUGGCAUCCUAUCCUGCUAUACAACAUGGCAGCUACUAGCACAGUCAGUGCUUCAUGGAAAGAUUCAGGACUCCGCUCUCAACGGGGAAACAACAUCAGCUCUACCAAGGAACAACAGAGCAGCCUUUGCAUGAGGCAAGCUCACAGCCACAGGCCACUUUCCUGCAACCUUGAGGACUGAAAGGAUGGCUGCUUUCAGCAGGCAGCUCAGGAGCCACAGAGGCUGAUUUGUUCCAACUUUGUGGUUUCCAGUAUUCCCUCGUGCCGUGAGUCCUAGAGUGCAAGGUCCAGCCUAAGAAAAACCCAUUCAUAAAUGACACAGCUUCUACAAAAUGCAUUGCCUCCAGGAAGCUGCAUUUCCUGAAAUGUGGGGAUGGAAUUAGCUGCGUGCCUUCUCCAUGGCACUCUGCUCCUGCACUUCACCCCAUUGCGAGAAAUGCUUUGUAAACUUUCCUUGACUUUAUGAAAUUACUUUGUUUGUAAAAGCUGGUGAACAAGGUUUCCUGAUAUUAAUACACUUCGCUUAUUGCUUAGCAGCACGACCUCUGGGUUUCUGUAAGCUAUGGAAAUGAGGGAAACCUUGGCUCCUGACUCAGUGGGGGUCCACGAUUUAUGCUCCCUCUCAUGCUACAAACAUUACUUCUGUGACUGCUCUUUAUUUCACAUGCUACUCCUUUCCCACAAUUUAUGAACAUACAGCUCUUCCUCAGAGAGGUACUGCAGGACACAGCCAGCAGCCAGGAGCCCAGCCCUCAGCCCUAUGCACAGCUCUGCAGCACUGGGCAAGAUGGGCCAGCACCAUGCAGAGCUGGGCAUUCUGUGCACAGGAACAGAGCCAGGGUGGCCGCAAGCCCAGCUCUGCUCUCUUCUUUAAGUACAGAG